rnacentral:lncRNA from 1 species
CUAUCGCUCUUGGUCUCCUUUGCAAAUUGCAAUCGCAUGUCAGUUUCCAGCGAGCGCUGCUGGGUUCGGGCUCCGGCUGCUGGAGUCUAGCGAGAGGAGGGUUUUAGGGGCUCCCCCCCCUUUUCUUAAAAUCCGAUGCAUGCAUUUGAUCCCGAUGACUGUCGGCUGCGUGGGGGGCUCUGUCUUUCCAGAGCCCCCCAAUACACUAAAGCCUGGGCGGGUUGAGGAGGAGGAGGAAGAGAGGAAGCUAAAGGGGGGAGCCCAUUUUCUUCCUUGCAGACGGAUCGCUGGCUGGAUUGCAAUUUGCAAAGGGAGCAUGAUUAACAACACCUUGUGCAACAUCUGUGCUCUGCUAGCUCUGGAGAUGUACAGAUGUCAGGGGAAGCACCGACAGUACAUACAGAGCAAAGACGAGACAGAGGGGGCUGCAAAAGUAGAGGAGUCCCCGAUAGAAGUGUAGCUUGUGUUAACGGCAGUGGUAGGAAUUGGUGAAGGCUAGUGUGCUUCUGGGACUGGGGCUUUUGCCCGCCUGCACCAGGAGGGAUCGUCCACCUCCGCCAGCCUGGAGCAUCAUCUACACGUCUCCCCAGGCAGCUGCGGCCACCUGGCUUCUGAGGCCAGCCUGUGAGUACUGAAACGCGAGUGCACAUAACAUCUUCCCUUUGCGAGGCUGUGACAGGUCCCUCUGCUGCAGCUGCCUUCUGAACCCCUUACCGGGGCUCCAUCCCCUCCCCUGGGGCCGUGCAGAUCCCCUU